UUGUUUUAUAUAAAUACUUUAUAGAAUUAACAACUUCUAAUUAGUUUUCAAAGAACAUUAACAUGUAUAGAUUUGGAUUACAAUUAAAGUUCAUAUUUGUAAAGGAAACACAUAUAUAUAUAGUAAUUUUUAUGCCCCACCUACGAUAGUAGAGGGGCAUUAUGUUUUCUGGUCUGUGGCUCCGUUCGUCUGUGCGUCCGUCCGU
rnacentral:lncRNA from 1 species